AUCGCCUCGCCUAUCCUGCAACCUAGCAAGCAACCACAAAGGUAAUCAUGAAUUUAUAGCAACUAUAACCGGUCAUGAGAAAACAAUAUAAGAAAUUGGCAUGUGCAAGCUCUCAGUUCCUUGCCCGGUUUUGGCGGGGACGGAGAAGCAUACCCAGAGAAAAUUUGUACCGCAUGUCAGCUCCUGGUUAGCACCGGUAUUGAAGGAAGCCCAGCCGUCCCGCGAGCGGCCUCCUUGGAACUUCGAUCUCCACUAACACUUCGACCCUGAGAAGCACAAAGAGCUGAAGAUGAUAGAAGUAGCACAAUCAUUUCUCAUCAUCCUUGCAUUUUGUAAGUGCCGAGGUUCAGAAAUAAAUACAACCAGUCAUAAUUGAGAUGUAGAACGUUUCUAAACGACACUAAAAUAAAUAGAAGUAAAAUAAGUAUGUGUAUGUGCAGAAUCAGCAAUACUGUGAGACAUGGUAUAAUGCUGGAUAUUAGAUAUGAUAAAAAAGACCAUAGAUAAAAAAACACAGGAAAGCACUCAACAAAACUUGCAAAACAUGUUAGAUAAACAGAUUUGGCGUUCAUGUCUCGCAGCAAAUAUCGACAAAAUGGAGUUGCAGAAAGCACUCACAUUGCACAUGAACACCAAAUCUGUUCUUGUGCACCACCUCCCUUCUGUUAAACAACCAUGACAUACCCCAUUUUUACAAAGGCAAAAUAAUAUCACAAUAACAGUGACAGAGGACUGAAGAAAACUCAAAAUGGGAUGUAUGUCAUGGCAAUGCUUGAACCUAUACUUGCAUAGUUGUAUUCAAUGCAUAUAAUAAAGCUGAUAAGGACGAAAUCCAAAUGAAAAUGAUGUCUAUGUUUUAGAGGAGAAAGUGAGGAAAACCAGCUGGGCAUGGUAAAAUAUAUUAACCUGUAGCCUAGCAUUACUACCAAAGAAAAUGGAGCCACUGAUCAUGUCAAUGGAAACAUACAGAGAAUGUUUUACUUAUUUUCACCAUUGAUUCUUCACAUUUAUGUGCUUUUCAAAUAAAAGGUACAUAAAAGCCUUGUGCCUUAUGAAAUCAUCAUGACACUACAAUUCACAAAGUUUUAUAUGAAUCAUGGUGAUAAGGAACCAUCCAACCAUACGAAAAAGAUAUCAUCAAAGCAUGUGGAGAUAGCUACAUCGUUUUGUACUUUAAGAAGAGGAUUGUCAUGAUUUGUCAGUCUGAAACAUAUGGAGGAACCAAUCUGGGGAAAUGUCCACCUGGUUAAGAAGACAUACCUAGUUACUGGGAAUCAUCUAAUGAUCCAACCACCACCAGUGCUGACGACGCUUUACC
rnacentral:lncRNA from 1 species